UUUGACACAAAGUCAAAGACUUAUGCGGAAUAACCACCGCGUAGCCAGGAGAACUGGCAUUGGACUCCUAAAAAAGGAGAAAACAAAUG
rnacentral:ncRNA from 1 species